rnacentral:rRNA from 1 species
GACGAACGCUGGCGGCGUGCUUAACACAUGCAAGUCGAACGGAAAGGCCCUGCUUUUGUGGGGUGCUCGAGUGGCGAACGGGUGAGUAACACGUGAGUAACCUGCCCUUGACUUUGGGAUAACUUCAGGAAACUGGGGCUAAUACCGGAUAGGAGCUCCUGCUGCAUGGUGGGGGUUGGAAAGUUUCGGCGGUUGGGGAUGGACUCGCGGCUUAUCAGCUUGUUGGUGGGGUAGUGGCUUACCAAGGCUUUGACGGGUAGCCGGCCUGAGAGGGUGACCGGCCACAUUGGGACUGGGAUACGGCCCAGACUCCUACGGGAGGCAGCAGGGGGGAAUAUUGCACAAUGGGCGGAGGCCUGAUGCAGCAACGCCGCGUGCGGGAUGACGGCCUUCGGGUUGUAAACCGCUUUCGCCUGUGACGAAGCGUGAGUGACGGUAAUGGGUAAAGAAGCACCGGCUAACUACGUG